GAUGAACGCUGGCGGCGUGCCUAACACAUGCAAGUCGAGCGAUUUACUUCGGUAAAGAGCGGCGGACGGGUGCGUAACGCGUGGGUAACCUGCCCUGUACACACGGAUAACAUACCGAAAGGUAUGCUAAUACGAGAUAAUAUGCUUUUAUCGCAUGGUAGAAGUAUCAAAGCUUUUGCGGUACAGGAUGGACCCGCGUCUGAUUAGCUAGUUGGUGAGGUAACGGCUCACCAAGGCGACGAUCAGUAGCCGACCUGAGAGGGUGAUCGGCCACAUUGGAACUGAGACACGGUCCAAACUCCUACGGGAGGCAGCAGUGGGGAAUAUUGCACAAUGGGCGAAAGCCUGAUGCAGCAACGCCGCGUGAGCGAUGAAGGCCUUCGGGUCGUAAAGCUCCGUCCUCAAGGAAGAUAAUGACGGUACUUGAGGAGGAAGCCCCGGCUAACUACGUG
rnacentral:rRNA from 1 species